rnacentral:rRNA from 1 species
AGCGAACGCUGGCGGCAGGCCUAACACAUGGAAGUCGAACGAACCUUUCGGGGUUAGUGGCGGACGGGUGAGUAACACGUGGGAACGUGCCUUUAGGUUCGGAAUAACUCAGGGAAACUUGUGCUAAUACCGAAUGUGCCCUUCGGGGGAAAGAUUUAUCGCCUUUAGAGCGGCCCGCGUCUGAUUAGCUAGUUGGUUGAGGUAAUGGCUCACCAAGGCGACGAUCAGUAGCUGGUCUGAGAGGAUGAUCAGCCACAUUGGGACUGAGACACGGCCCAAACUCCUACGGGAGGCAGCAGUGGGGAAUCUUGCGCAAUGGGCGAAAGCCUGACGCAGCCAUGCCGCGUGAAUGAUGAAGGUCUUAGGAUUGUAAAAUUCUUUCACCGGGGACGAUAAUGACGGUACCCGGAGAAGAAGCCCCGGCUAACUUCGUG